rnacentral:rRNA from 1 species
UACGAAGGGGGCUAGCGUUGUUCGGAAUUACUGGGCGUAAAGCGCGCGCAGGCGGCCAUUCAAGUCAGGGGUGAAAGCCCAGAGCUCAACUCCAGAACUGCCUUUGAUACUGAGGAUCUUGAGUUCGGGAGAGGUGAGUGGAACUGCGAGUGUAGAGGUGAAAUUCGUAGAUAUUCGCAAGAACACCAGUGGCGAAGGCGGCUGACUGGACAUGUAUUGACGCUGAGGUGCGAAAGCGUGGGGAGCAAACAGG